rnacentral:rRNA from 1 species
GAUGAACGCUGGCGGCGUGCCUAAUACAUGCAAGUCGAGCGAACGGACGAGAAGCUUGCUUCUCUGAUGUUAGCGGCGGACGGGUGAGUAACACGUGGAUAACCUACCUAUAAGACUGGGAUAACUUCGGGAAACCGGAGCUAAUACCGGAUAAUAUUUUGAACCGCAUGGUUCAAAAGUGAAAGACGGUCUUGCUGUCACUUAUAGAUGGAUCCGCGCUGCAUUAGCUAGUUGGUAAGGUAACGGCUUACCAAGGCAACGAUGCAUAGCCGACCUGAGAGGGUGAUCGGCCACACUGGAACUGAGACACGGUCCAGACUCCUACGGGAGGCAGCAGUAGGGAAUCUUCCGCAAUGGGCGAAAGCCUGACGGAGCAACGCCGCGUGAGUGAUGAAGGUCUUCGGAUCGUAAAACUCUGUUAUUAGGGAAGAACAUAUGUGUAAGUAACUGUGCACAUCUUGACGGUACCUAAUCAGAAAGCCACGGCUAACUACGUGCCGGCAGCCGCGGUAAUACGUAGGUGGCAAGCGUUAUCCGGAAUUAUUGGGCGUAAAGCGCGCGUAGGCGGUUUUUUAAGUCUGAUGUGAAAGCCCACGGCUCAACCGUGGAGGGUCAUCGGAAACUGGAAAACUUGAGUGCAGAAGAGGAAAGUGGAAUUCCAUGUGUAGCGGUGAAAUGCGCAGAGAUAUGGAGGAACACCAGUGGCGAGGGCGACUUUCUGGUCUGUAACUGACGCUGAUGUGCGAAAGCGUGGGGAUCAAACAGGAUUAGAUACCCUGGUAGUCCACGCCGUAAACGAUGAGUGCUAAGUGUUAGGGGGUUUCCGCCCCUUAGUGCUGCAGCUAACGCAUUAAGCACUCCGCCUGGGGAGUACGACCGCAAGGUUGAAACUCAAAGGAAUUGACGGGGACCCGCACAAGCGGUGGAGCAUGUGGUUUAAUUCGAAGCAACGCGAAGAACCUUACCAAAUCUUGACAUCCUUUGACAACUCUAGAGAUAGAGCUUUCCCCUUCGGGGGACAAAGUGACAGGUGGUGCAUGGUUGUCGUCAGCUCGUGUCGUGAGAUGUUGGGUUAAGUCCCGCAACGAGCGCAACCCUUAAGCUUAGUUGCCAUCAUUAAGUUGGGCACUCUAAGUUGACUGCCGGUGACAAACCGGAGGAAGGUGGGGAUGACGUCAAAUCAUCAUGCCCCUUAUGAUUUGGGCUACACACGUGCUACAAUGGACAAUACAAAGGGCAGCGAAACCGCGAGGUCAAGCAAAUCCCAUAAAGUUGUUCUCAGUUCGGAUUGUAGUCUGCAACUCGACUACAUGAAGCUGGAAUCGCUAGUAAUCGUAGAUCAGCAUGCUACGGUGAAUACGUUCCCGGGUCU